CGUGCACGUGUGCGUAAGCAUGCACAUUUGUGAAUAUGCACAUGCGUAAGCAUGCACGUGUGCACCAGUGUAUAAAUGUAAGUGCACCUGUGUGAGUGGGUGUGUGUGCGCACAUGUAUAAAUGUGUUUGAGUGCAUAUGUGUACCUGAGUACACAUGUAUAAAGUGUGAAUGUGAGUGCAUGUGAACACGUGUAGGCAUGAUGUAUGUGUGAGUGUACCUGUGUGCAUGAGUGUGCAUAGAUGAGUGUGACUAAGUGUGAGCAUGUGAGUACUUGUAUGAGUGCAUGUGUCUGUGUGUGAGAGUGCACUUGUGUUCCCCUCGGCUGCCAGGCUGACUGCCCAGCUCUGCAUCCUGCCGUGUUGUGUUACACAAUGGUAGAUGGUGUGGCUUCUUUCCCAUGUCAGUCCUCAUCCCUUGUUGGGGGCUGUCAGCCUGGAUCUUUCUCCUGGCCUCUCCCCCACCUUCGGACUCUACUGUGCACAUUCUAGCAGAAGAGAAGUCAGGGUCCUGGAGAGCAGAGCCAACCUUCCAGUGGCCUUCAGUGUACCUCUCCCAGCCCCUGUGAUGAGACAGUGGGGCCACAGAUGCUGCAUAUUCAGCCCACCCAGGUGCCAGGGCUCUUUAAAACCGUGCAGGUGAAACGUUCUUGGACAUUCAAAGGAGGCGGCAACCAGCAGGGGCAAAGGUAAAUUCUCACUGCAAAGACAGCAGGAAUGUCCAGCUAUUGGUGCUCUGGCUCCUGAAGUCCAGGGGAGCCAGUGGGAAGGGGGCAGCCUGGCGUCUGGGGCCCAGAAGAUGGACAGAAAGGGGCUGCCUACCUCACCUGGCAGGAGGUGCUAGAAGUGGACAUGAAACACCAGCCGCUGUAGGUAGCUUUCUGGAACCAAAGAGGGGCCUGGUUUUCUCCUGGACGUGGGAGCAGCAGAGGGAGCAAACACCUACCCAGAGAGCUGGAGAGGGUGGCCCAGCCCUUGAGGGCUCAAGGGUCUGGGUCACAGGGAGUCCUGGUGCAAGGAGCUCCCUGGAGAGCUGUAGUGCAGUGGGCUCUGUUAUGGCCCCUGAAUCCUGGCCAUGACCGGUGCAGCCCUGGCCCACUGUUGGCUGAGAAUUGAGUCUGAUCAUGCACCUCCGG
rnacentral:lncRNA from 1 species